CCUAGGAGUCAAUAUGGGUGAUCUUAACUCAGAUGGUGGGGACAUGAAACCUGAACAGGUUACCUCCUACAACCAGGCAGAAUCCCUCUAUCUGAGGGAUAAAGACACCAACCCCACCAACAAAAUUUUUGAUCCAAAAUUUGUCCCAUCUAAAGGAAGUGCAGGGACAAGGAUGGAGCAGAGACUGAAGGAGUGGUCACUUGAAAUAAUCCCACAGGCAAGCACCAAUCCCUAGCAUCAUUAGUGGUACUCUGUUAUGCUUGCAGACAGGAGCUUAGCAUAACAGAGGAUUUCAAGAACCUCUGAAAGGCUCUACCCAACAGCUGCCUGAAACACAGGCAGAUACCCACACUGGAACAUUGGACAAAGACCAGGGAUUCACUGGGUGAAGGAUUGAAGGCCCUGAAGGGGAUAGGAACUCCACAGGAAAACCAAAAGAGUCAACUAACCUUGACCCCUGGGAGCCCCUCAGAGACUGAGCCACCAACCGAGGAACAUACAGAGGUUGGAACAAAGCUCAUGCUCUCCACCCCUGGGCACAUAUGUAGUAGACAUGCAGCUUAGUCUCUGUGGCUCCCUUGUCUGGCCUUAGUAGGAGGGGAUGCACCUAAUCUGGCAAAGACUUGAUACAACUGGGUUGGGGGACACUUGGGAUACCAUCCUAUCUGGCACUUUGCUAAGUCUAUCCGUCAGAAAAGAAUUUUUUAGGUGGUUAACUUACUUGUUGCUUUUCAAGAACAAUGAUACUGAGCUGUGAGUGUAUAUCAUGUCACUGUUGUUUAUAGGUAAACCCUCAAAAUGUUGAUCUGAUUGAAGAAGGUAGUAGAAUAGUGAUAAAUAGAAAAUAGAAGAGGCAGCAGGUAGUAUGGAGGGAAAUUGCAUAAUAAAUACCAUGUAAUCCCCGGAAGAGAAUUUAAACAGCUCAAAGCCUAGUAGCAUAUACAAUGAGAUUAGCACAGUUGUUCAUGUCUGUCCCUUGUAAUAAUAGCUACUGUCUAUAGUGGCAUAGGAGCCACCAUAGGCAAUCUCUUUCAGGUGCAUUGACAGGAGCAUGACAGUGAUCUUGAAUAGAACAUAGAUUUACAAAGCUUCCAGCAAAUAACCUCAGUGCUGAAAAUAACUCUAGUCCUGGAGGACAAAGGCAUAUAAAAUUGGCAGCGGUGUGUGAUGCUUGUAGAAGAAAACGGGAAUCAUUCAAAACUGUCCACGGAGAGGGAGGCCCACAGCCACUGUCAGGAUGACAAAGAGGAUGGUUUCAUUGGUCAGUGAUACAUCUUAAGAGGCAGAGGCUAAAUCCGCUCUGUGCAUUUAGCCAGACAUAGUGAUCCAAUAAACUGACUCUUGUAUAAACUCUUGUAUAAAAUACAAAAAGCAGAAGUGUGGCUAACUCCAUUUUAGACCAGCCUAAAUCUUGGGACGGAGAAAAUAAAUAAAGUGAUAGAUGUUAUUAGAAGGAACAGACAUGUGCAAGUUAUCUUAAUCUCUCUGAUAGUACUUUCCCAGGCUUUGAGCAAUUUAAAGUCUUUUCUAAACCACAAAUUAACUUUAACAUUUCUAAGGGACACGGAUGUGUCUUAAAUUGAUAACCGGAGUGUCAAGCAUCACUUCCAGCGACAGAAAAAGAAUCCACAGUCUUUAAUUUUUAUGUCUAAUUGACUUCGGUUGAGGUGUAGUCAAAUGUAUAUUAUUUCUUAAUUUGACACCUUCCAGUUAAGAGGUCUUAUUUUAUAUGUGUCAGAGAUGCAGGUGUGAAAAUUAGCCACUAGGAAGGCUAACUGCUCCAGAUUCUUUUGACCUUAUGGCUGGAAGGGAUUUAAUUGUAACCUCAUAAAGAGAAAGGAAUUCUGGCCACUAGGGAAGAUGAUUACAUGGUCAUUGACAAUGUGAACUUGAACGGCUACAUUAGCUCUUUAAUUAUAAUGAAUCCAGAAGAAAUGUUCAAGGUUGGAAAGAAGGCACUGGGUAGGGGAUAAUGACAGGUCCUUAUGCAAAUGGCUUCAACACUAGAAGAACGAAGAGGUUGGACCUGCUUUAAAGAGUCUCUUUCAUUGAAGACGUCAGCUAGGAGUGAGAAGUACAAAUCUUGAAAAUGUUCAGCGUUUGUCAUUAAAACUACCCUGUAGCGUGACACAUUUCUAGUCACUAAAUCUCAAACGAAGACUUUUCUUGGUCUGGAAGACGUUUGUUUUGUUUCCUCCUCUUUCAGUUUUCCAUGCUUUUUAAUGCUUUCUAAAUAGGAAAAUAAAAUAACCAAGAUAUAUAUAGCAAAUCCCCCUGCAAACAAAGUUUUUCUUGUAUAAAAAAGUUUAUUUCUGAUUUCUAGCUCUGGCUUCAACUUCUAUCAAUUCCAAGUACCCAAGGCUGUUCUUAACAGACAGAACAUGUGCUUUAAACCUACAUGAAUAAAUUAAUGAUAGAAAGACUGGAUGAUUAUGGAGACAUGAAUGUUGCAAUGGAGAAAUAAAAGCAACUAAAACUGGAUUAAGUGAAACUGCUUCAACAUUAAAUCUCAAUUUACAUACCUUUUACGACACUGAAAAUCAAUGUAUUUCUUGGAAUUCUGUAGGGGCAAUCUGUUGGGAACACUUGUGAGAGACUCAUUUUUAGUCAGAGAUUACUUAAUUAAGGUAAGGACAUAGAAACAGCUUUUUGUACCAUAGGCAAAGUACUAUCAUUUGUCAGAGUAAUGAAACAGGAUUUUGUAUAUAGGAAACCAAGCUUUGCCCCCUUGAAAUAGUGAAAGAAAAGAAUAGGACUGAAAAGCAGGAGUCCUUAGCAUUCAUUCUUCACCUCAUAAUGUAAGGAAAUGAGAGAUUUUUCUUCCAUGUAUGUAAAACUUGUUACAAUAAUUUCCUUUCCCCUCUUUUUUUGCUUCUAUUGGGGGGGGGUUAAUUUACUUGUUACCAUGACAGAAUACCUGACCAAAAAAAAGCAGCCUAAGGGAGGAAGAGUUUAUAUUGGCUCACAUUCUGUGAGGAUACAGUCUAAGGUGAUAGGGAACAGAUGGCGGCAGAAACAAGAGGAAGCUGGUCACCUUGCAUCCAUAGGAAGCAGACAGUUGAAUAGUUAGGGUCAGGUUACUUUUUCCUCUUCUUAUUCAGACUGAGACCUUAGCCCAUGUCGUGGGAUCACCUAUAUUCAGGGCGGGUCUUCCUUCAUCAGUAAAAACUCUCUGCAAACACCUUUCAUUAUCACCAAAAGAUGUGUUUCCAUGCCAAGUCUAAAUCCAGUCAAUUUGACAAUGAAUAUUACGGUUCACACUUUUGCAUUUUUGUUUGAUUUUCCGGUCUUGAUUGAGAUGUUACUCUUUUUGUGUUUCUAUGUCUUGUAAUGCUUGGUGCUCAAACCCAUACAUUGCACGUGGUAUGUAAGCACUCUGCCACUGAGCCUCGUGGUCCAUGAAUUACCUUUCUGGAUGUUACCUUUUGGUGCUCCCUAGCUUGCAGCAGAAGUUAAUCUAAUCACGUUAUCUAAUCACGAUGUUAUUGACAUUGAAUGACAAUUUCCUCAAGUCUUUCUUUCACCAAGUUGUACAUGCAUGAGUCUUAUUGUUUAUACUAAGUCACUUGCAUAUAUAUGCAUAUUUAUGUAUAUAAAUUUGGACACAAUUGGUUUAGUGAAUUAGUGGGUUUGUGUUUACUUAAUAUGUCUUUUGUUUGUUUUCAGUAGAGGGAUAUCAUCCUUGAUUGAUGUUGAAGAGGCUCUGGGCGACCUAAGCAUGGCAAACAUGUCUCUCUCAGGUUUUCCUCCUCUCCCCCAUUCCCUCUGCCUUGCUAAAAACCAUUAGAUCACAUGCCUAAAUCUAGUCCCAGGGACCAUUCCCUUAUUUGGCCUUUUGCUCCUCCUGAGGCUGACUACCACGGACUAGCUAUCAAAGAACUGAAGUCCAACACCCUACCCCCUUUGGCCACCUUAAUUAACAAGCCCAAUCAAACUCAACCAUCUCAUCCUAACACGUGGAUGCCCCCUUUGCCUUUAUAAAUUGUCAUUUGCCUAUGGGCCAUGCCUGUCUUCUCUCUAUCUAGAAAUAGUUCCUUGUCCUCCAGGGACAAAUAUCUCUUCCCCUUCUCUGCCUUGUUCCCUUCCCCAUUUCUCCAUUCUCUAUCUCCUGUGUUUGUCUCUUUCUUAUUUUCUGCCUUUUGUUUCUCUGGAGCAAAUAAGUCUUCUUUGUGCUGAGAACUUGGUCUUGGGGUAUCUUGUGCCAAAUCUUGGUACCUUUGAUGUCUAAUUAUUUGGUUUUGUAACACCCCUCCUUUCCCUCUCCUGUGUCCUUUAUCCUAUUCUUCAUUCCUCAUGUUUUCUCUUCACCCUUUCACAAAUACUGGCAGUCUUCUGCAUACCAACAAUUGCUUUCUAUUUCUUAUAUACUUGGUUUUCUCUACCUGAUUUUGUUUCAUAUCCCCCUCCCCUGAGGAAUGUGGAUAAUUUUAAAGAUCCUUCCAAAUCAUGUUUAUCUUCAUAGUGAAUGUGGAGGACAAAUAUUUUGUAUGGAAUAAGAAAUAUGGAUACUUGACCCAUAGCAAUGACCAUGUCUUGCUUUAUUUUUCUUCCUUCAAUAUAUAAUAAUAGCAGAGUAAACAUAUCUAGUGGGUUCCUCAUCUAUGUUUGUGUUGAUGAAGGAAAGAAUACCGAGGUUAUCUGCAGUGCUUCCCGGUGUGUUGGUAGAUGUUGUUUGUUUCAGUACAAAUCAUGAAGACUUAUGUGACAGCGGUGGGCUGGUGUAUUGGAUAUCUGAGAAGAAAAGAAGCUUUGAUAUAUAGCAUUUGCCACUUUGAUGUUACAAAUACUUCUACCACAUGGUUUCUUUUUCUUUUUUCUUUUUUUUCCAGGUGUACUGGCUGGUUUUCUGUGUCAACUUGACACAAGCUGAAAUUAUCAGAGAGAAAGGAGCCUUCCUUGAGGAAAUGCCUCCAUGAGAUCGAGCUAUAAGGCAUUUUCUCAAUUAGUGAUCAUAGAAUGAAGACCACUUCCUGCUCUUCAAAGGCGGCUCCUUUGGAAGAAUGCUGUCAUCUAUGGCUACGUUGAUAGGACAUAACAAGACUGAAACACGUAUAUGAACUCACAAAGACUUUGACAGCACACAGACGACAUUCACAGGUCAAAUCAGACAAAAUCCCAGGAGUGAGAAGGAACUAGAGUUCCACCCUUAACAGGAAGCUAUUUACAAGUGGUACCUCCUGGGAAAGGAUACAGUUUCCUCCAAUGGAGUGUCAUUGGGAAUAUCAACCACGUUCCCGUGUAAGCCGCAUGCCUAGGAGUAGUUGCCCAAUACAAAGAAGACUUUUUUUUUUUUUUUGGUGAGUAUGUUAUUAGAUCUGAUACUUUUUA